GAGCUGCAGUACUUGGGAGAGCACUUCAAAUUGUGCCAAAUCUAAAGUCGAUCAAUCUGUACCAGUGCUCUGGUUAGACAGCAGCUCGAGGGCGUGACCUGGUCAGAGGUCUGGUGCAGGUGCAUCUUGCUGGCAGAGAUACGACUGGACUCUGUGGUACUUGAUGAGGAGGGUAUAACCAUCCUAGCUCAAGGCUUCAGCCAUUUGGCCUCACUUAGAAGGCUCAGCUUGAACAACAUUAGAGUGGUGACAUCAGAGACGUUUGUGAAUGGCACUGGCAUACUUUGUCUUCUGACCUCUUUUAAGGGUUUUAGACUGAUGGAAGAGAUUGAGUUGGAAAGUUGGCGAAUGGGAGAUGGUGGUUCUUAUGAGCUUGUGAAAUACAUUAAUUCGUGGACUGAACUAGUAAAACUAAGUCUGUCAUACAACAAUGUGACUGACCAGGCUGGAGAGAAGCUACUGGUGGCACUAUCCCACUGCAGAGUUCUUCAGAAACUACAGCUAUCCAAAAACCGGCUUGGUCAGGCAUGUGCUGCUAAACUAGCUCAAGUCCUUCCGUUACUGCCCCAACUUUCAGAACUCAUUUGUCAGAGAAUCAGUUUGGCCCACAUGGAUCCUUGGCUCUUUGUGAAGGUCUGAUGAGCAUGAAGGCACUAAAAAUACUACAUUUGACUUCGAUUGGGAGUUCAGAUCUGGUUGGUGUGGCCUCAUCCCUCAAACACUGUUCAUCCAUAGAGGACAUCAGCUUGUCAUGGAAUGGAUGUGGUGACAGCCUGGCAUGGACACUGGCUGAGAUUUUACCCCUAUGUGCGAAUCUGAAAAGACUUAAGUACUUGAGUGCUUGCUGUGAAGGUUUAGCUAUAAGUGCAAUUACAAAAUGCUGAUGUCAUUAAAACUAAUGAUUGCAGCCUGGAAGCCAAUAAUGUAACUACAGCAGGAGCCACAGUGAUAGCCAAAUGCCUCCUUAUCAUGCCCCUCCAUUGAGGUAAUAAGGUAUGACUAGCACAUACACUCUUGAUCAGAAAAUUUGUGAUUAAUACAAAUAGUAGAACUGCUUGAGAUGCACAUAAAAACCAGAGCUUCUCUUCAUUUAACACAGACUCUGGAGGAACCCAGUCUGAUCUGAAAGAUCAGAGACUGAAUUUUUCAUCAGUUUAAUCACUUAUGUUUAUAUUUUUUUUUAUUUCCUUUUUUAUAUUGUAAAUAAUAUUGUUGUAGUACUA